UACGGAGGGUGCAAGCGUUAUCCGGAUUCACUGGGUUUAAAGGGUGCGUAGGCGGAUAAGUAAGUCAGUGGUGAAAAUCUCCGGGCUUAACUCGGAAACUGCCGUUGAUACUAUUUAUCUUGAAUAUCAUGGAGGUAAGCGGAAUAUGUCAUGUAGCGGUGAAAAUGCUUAGAUAUGACAUAGAACACCGAUAGCGAAGGCAGCUUACUACAUGUUAAUUGACGCUGAGGCACGAAAGCGUGGGGAGCAAACAGG
rnacentral:rRNA from 1 species